rnacentral:miRNA from 1 species
AUGCUGGGAGACGUCAUCACG